UUCAAAAACAUCGCCUCUUGACCCUAUAUGAGAGGUCCAGCCUGCCCAGUGACCAAGUUCAACGGCCGCGGUAUCCUAACCGUGCAAAGGUAGCGUAAUCACUUGUUCUUUAAAUGAGGACUAGUAUGAAUGGCACCACGAGGGUUAUACUGUCUCCUUUUUCUAAUCAGUGAAACUAAUUUCCCCGUGAAGAAGCGUGGAUGAUUCUAUAAGACGAGAAGACCCUAUGGAGCUUUAAACAGUGUAGCCCUUACCGUGCUUUAAAACUUCUACACACUUAGUUUAUUGGUAAGAUAACUACAAGUUUUUGGUUGGGGUGACCGCGGAAUACAAUACAACCUCCAUGCUGAAAAAACCUUCUUUAAGCUGAGAACCACACUCCAAAGCAUCAAUACAUUGACUACCAUUGACCCAAUAUAAUUGAACAACGAACCAAGUUACCCUAGGGAUAACAGCGCAAUCCGCUUCGAGAGCCCCUAUCGACAAGUGGGUUUACGACCUCGAUGUUGGAUCAGGGUAUCCCAGCGGUGCAGCCGCUGCUAGUGGUUCGUUUGUUCAACGAUUAAAACCCUACGUGAUCUGA
rnacentral:rRNA from 1 species